CGUAGUUCGGCUUGAAGACGCGGCUUCUCGGAAAGAUGACACGCGCGGAAUAUCUGCAGGGUGGCCGGAGGCACAAAGCCAGUAAAGGGACUGCUGCUCUCGGCCUUAAAUUUGAAGUGUGAAGAGGCGUUUACCAUGAAAAUAGAAGCUACCCUCUCUUACCAAAAUGAAAAUCUGGAUUUAGAACAUGCUUAUUCUCCAUUAUCCAGGUGGCAGAGUUGACUGAACAGAGCAAACAUAAAGCAGAGUCUACACAGAACAGCAGUUCCUCUGCAAAGAAUGCUGCUGGGGACCAAGGAAGCCAAUGGACAAAGGGCACUAGGGAUAGAUCACUCUGAAGGAAACGCCACUCAUCUCUCCCUGCCAGUGGCUGUGGUGGACACCUAUCCCUUACCUCCUCAUCAGAAGUUACUUUUGCAGCUAUUCUUCCUUAGACACUGGCCACAAUCCUUCCUCAAGAUGAAUGACAAUGUGUGAACAAGAGCUCCAAAGCAGCAAGAGAAGUAGCAAUUCAGUACAAUGCCACAUGAAAAACCAGAUUUGCAAGUUUUGGAGAAGGUCAGAAGUGAAUCAUCAGAUUACUCAUGCAUGGAUGAUGAAGAUGAUGAUGAAAAUAAUGAUGACUGAUGAUAAUGAAUGAAGAUGAUAAUGAUGAUGUUGGCUAUGUGAGCCAAAGUUCCAGUGACAGUGAAAUGGAGCAAGAAUCGGCUGAUACAUACAAAGGGAAUGGAGACCUUCUUGAUUCAGAUGACAAAACAGCAGUGUGAGUACAUAUUUGACUAGUUGAAAUGUUGCAAAAUGUUCACACAACCAAGUAGAACAAUCCAGUGUUAGAACUAGGUCUGGAAAUAUAGGAUCUUGGCAGGGGUGAAACCUGUUGGACAGAAUGCCAGCCCUGCCAUUCAGUGUUAGAAACUGUAACAGAUGAAAUACUACAAGAUGUUGUGAAAUACACAAAGGCUGAAAUAUACGUAAAACAUUUUAUAUGCACCAAUAGCCAUAUUCAAAAAUGUUUAUUAUGACACCUCAUUAGCUGAACUGAAAGCAUUCGUAGGUCUGCUGUACUUAGCAGGGAUUUCUCAGAGUAAUCACAGGAAUGUAAAAGACUCAUGGAAAAAUGAUGGGUCAAAAUAUGGCAUAAAAAUGUAUGCCCUUGUAGAUGUGAAGACAUUAUGCUUUCAGUUUAGAAAUUUAUCUUGGAACUAAGCACUAGGUCCUUAUUCAUAUAGUAAUAAACUAAAUGAUGUUGUGAACAGUCUUGUUGCUCCCAUCUCCCAAACUAAUCAGAAUGUGACAUUCAACAAUUGGCUUACCAGUUUCCAAUUGACAUUACAUUUGCUAACAGUUGACUAGCAUAGGAACUGUAUGCAGGAACAAAGGAGAAAUUCCAAACUAAACGUUGCAAUUUCAAAACAGAGAAUUGUAUAGUACAAUCUUUGGACUUCAGAAAGAUUUACUUUGGCUUCAUAUAUGGCAAAGAAAAACAAACUGGUACUACUGAUGUCAGCAUUGCACUAUGAUGGAAAUGAUAGGGAAACCUUGACAAAAAGAAGCCUGAGAUGGAAACUUUCUAUAACAAAACCAAAGACAGAGUAGACGUUAGUGAAUUAUGCAGCAACUACAGUAUCACUUGAAACACAAAGCAUUGGCCAAUGGUUGUGUUUUACUCCAUCCUAAACAUGUGUGGCAUAGUUUGAUAGUUUACAAAGAAAAUAACAAGUGCAAAAUAUCACAGAAUUUUCUUAGAGGAUUGGAACUGGAACUCAUAAGAGAUCAUUUACAGCAGAGGAAAAGCAAAAUUUUUCUGCCCAGGGAACUACACACAAAAAAAGGUUGUGGAGUACACUGGUGAGCUGACAGAUGAACAGGCAGGCACAGGAUCACAAAGACCUACUAUAACAACACGAAAACCAAAAAUAUCUCAACUGUGCCCUACAAGAAAGGACAGGAGAACAAAACAUAGGUGCUCUCAGUGUGACACUUGUAUAUGGAACAUUCAGCUUACAUGUGUUAAGACUGCCUUGAGUGUGAUAGUUGAAGCAAAGAUUAUUUCUGUGGUAGACAUUUGUAUUUACAUUGUAGUCCACAUAGGUUUAUAUUUCUGAUGUUGCCAGAUUUUGUAAGCAAGUAAACAGCUGAUGUGAAAAUCUUGAUGCCUAUUCUAAGCACUCAUUAUGUACUUGAUAUUUUAUAUAUUGAUCUUAUUUUCCUGCUAAGUGCACAUUGUACAAUAUAGUAGGAAGCUGCUGCCAGAACAGGAAGAGAGAUGACAAGAAUGUCCUGCCAUAUAGGAAAGGAAAGCUAGGAACAUGUGCUAUCAUUGCAAGCAAGACGUGUGCAUGGAGCAUGCAGUUGUCAUGUGUGAAGAUUGCCUUGGGUGGGACAGUUGAAGAAAAGAUUAUUUUUGUUGUAGAAUGCUAUUGAUAUUUCAUUUUAAUUCAUAGAGGAAUUUCUGAUGUUAUCUUUUAGGUUUUGUGAGAAAGUACAGAGCUGUUGUGAAAAUGAUGUUUAUUAUAAACAUACAGUACAUAUUAAGAAUUUAAUUUUAUUGAUAUUUUAUGUUCCUGUUAACCACCCAUUGUAUAAUAUAAUAAGAACCUCCUGACAAAACAGCAAGACCGGUGAGAUGUCAAGUAUGUCCUACAAAAAGGCCAGGAAAGUAAAACACAUGUGCUGUCAGUGUAAGUGAUAUGUGUGUAUGGAAGACGCUGUUGUCAUGUGUGAAGACUGCCUUAGGAGUGAUAACUGAAGUAAAGGUUAUUUUUGCUGUAGGGUGCUAUUGGUAUUUUCAUUGUAGUUCAUAUAGGAAUUUAUUUCUGUUGUUCUUUAGAGUUUGUACGCCAAAAAAGUCAAUGUUGAAAAUUUUGAUGCUUUUUUAUAAACACUCAAUAAAUAUUAAAAACUCAA